rnacentral:misc_RNA from 1 species
ACUUUCAUCUUCUGCUGAGUAUGAUAGGUUGAAACGUUGAGGGAGUUGGAAAUCAAGCUGCAAUGUCGCACACUGGAAUUUCCUCUUCAUUGCAUCAGAAACACUUAUAUCAAUUUUUGGGCCAUAAAAUGCUCCGUCUCCUUCAUUGAUCUCCCAGGGCUUCCCAUGCUCGUUCAAUGCUUCAGAAAGAGCAGCUUCAGCCUUUACCCAAGUUGCUAUGUCUCCAAGAAAUUUUUCAGGCCUUGUUGAUAACUUCAGGUCAAAAGUGAAACCAAAUAUCUUAUACACAUAGCUGAUGAACUCUAAGACGCCCUUGACUUCAUCCUUAAUCUGUGACUCUCUGCAAAAGAUGUGUGCAUCAUCCUGCUGAAAUCUCCUGACACGUGUUAAGCCAGUAAGUGCACCACUGGCCUCAUUCCUGUGCAGAACCCCAAAGUCAGCCAGACGAAGUGGU